rnacentral:lncRNA from 1 species
UUUUUUUUUUUUUUUUUUAAGAUUUAUUUAUUAUAUGUAAGUACACUGUAGCUGUCUUCAGACACUCCAGAAGAGGGCGUCAGAUCUUGUUACAGAUGGUUGUGAGCCACCAUGUGGUUGCUGGGAUUUGAACUGUAGACCUUCGGAAGAGCAGUCGGGUGCUCUUACCCACUGAGCCAUCUCACCAGCCCACACUGAUUAUUUCUGAGCAGUUGACAACUGGAGGUGGAAAAAUUAUGUUCCUGAGCACUUACCACCUGAUUAUCUCAUGAGGGUUUGAUAGAGUUAGUUAAUUAUUCAAAUAAAGUGCUUCUAGGAAGGGUAUGGCUGACCUUUUCCUGUCUCACUAAAUGAAGAAAUCAUUGCAAUAAUACCCAUCUUAACUUUUAAUUUGUAAAGCUGAAAUAGCUUCCUGUUGUUUUCAUUGUGCUUAAUUGGUAACAUCUCUGCAUCAGAGCUCUACUAUACAUAAAAUACUUUUAUACUUUAUGUCUUUGAUUGCUUGAUUGUGAUAUCAUGGGUUGGUAGCAUUUUAUGUAUUACAUUUGUUUUUCUUAAUACAUUUAUCAUUUUUAUUGUUAUAAUUUAUAUAACAGUAAAUUCACACUCAUCUAGUAUAUAGUUCUGAGUUUUGACAUAGUUACAUAACUAAUAUUCCACUCAAAAUACAGAAUGACUCCAUUACCUUAAAACUGUGUUCAAAUCUCUUUGUGGUCAACUCUGUCCCCUUACUGUCUGCAUUGAGCCACUAAUCUGUCUUUUUUAAACUUUGACUUUCUCCAGGAUGUCUUAUAGAUGGGUUUGUGUAAUAAGUAGCUUUUUGAGACUGAUUUCACAUGCUUAGAUUAAUGCAUUUGAGACUUCAAUAAUGUUGAUUGUGUUGCUAUCUAAUUCUUGCUUAUUACUAACUUCCACUCCAUUUUAGGAGUGUAUAAUAGCUUACUCAUCCUAUAUUUGAUGGUACAUUUAGGUUGUUUACAGUUUUUGUUGAUUAUUAAUAUAUACCCGAGUUAGUAUGCAGUUUCCUUGGGUAAAUAGGAAUGGAAUGACAGUGGGUUUUAUGCUAGCUGUUACUUUUAUAGGACAUGGCUGAUUGGAUGUGCCUUCUCACCAGCAACGUAUGAGUCAGUCUUCUCCACAGCUCUUGAUAUUGUUGGUUUUAACCUUUGAGUUUAGCUAUUCUAGUAGAUGUCUAGUAGUAUCUCAUUAUAACUCUUAAUUUGUAUUUCUCUGUACAUUAAUGCUGAGCACCUUGUAAUGAUCAGUCUUUAUUGCCAAGUUGACUGAAUUUGGAAUCAUCUAAGAGACAAAAUGAGGCAUACCUGUGGAUAUGUUUAACGGAGGAGGGAAGACCCUCCAUGACUAUGGGUAGUAGUAUUUCUGUAGUCUUGAGCCGUAAUACAAAGGAAGCAUCUUGUGGAGGACAUGGUCUCUCUCCACUUCCUGACUAAAAAGACAGAGUUUCUCUGGGUAGCUACGGAACUCACUCUGUAGCCCAGGCUGGCCUCAAACUCAAAGAUCCAUCUGCCUCUGCCUUUGGAGUGCUGAAACUGAAGGCAUGUGCAACCACUUUCAACUUGCUUGGUCCAGGUCAGACCUCCCUAGAAUUGGGGUACCUUGAUUGUUACAGCUCUUUUCAUUUUUAUGGGAUCAAACUUUGGAUCUCAUUCAAGUCAGGGACUCUUGUGAUGAGCUACAUCGCCUUUCUCUUUUAUACUAAGUAUAAAGUUUAUGAAUAACUUAGCAAAGGAUACUAUUACUGAUUGCCAAUUUCAUCAUUACAAGUGCUUGGUUUUGCAAGAUCAUUGUUAAAGUGGUAUGUGUGUGUGUGUGGGGGGGCUGUAAAGUAGCAAAGAUGUCAUGAAUUUGAGAGGGUUGGGGUGUCACAGAAGGAGUGUAGAGGAAGAGGGAAGGUUGAAAAUGAUAUCAAGACAGUACUCAUGUAUGAUAAUGUAAAACAAAUGUUUUCAAUUAAAAUAAAAGUGAUUAAAUAAGAAAACACACAAAAUGGUUAGAUGUACAAAUUCAGUUGCUGAUUUUGUAUGAAGCUAAAUUUAUAGGUCAUAGAAGCUUGAGAAAAUUUUAAAAUGUAAAUAAUUAAAGGUUAAGAUAGCUAUUUAUUGAAAUGCCUAUUAAUUUCAUCAUAAAUUAUAUAAUUAAAAAUCAAAUUACAGGUCUGCAAAUCAUCUACUAUCAAGCUAACUACUACCACCUAUGGUCCUUUUACAUUUUAACUAAAAAAAAUUUAAGAUUUAGUAAUUUUAAUUUUCUAAAUGUUCUUGAAAAGAAUUACCAGCCUUUAGUUUUUUACAAAUGAACGUUUAUUUUGAGGGAAGAGUCAUCUAUUGUAUGACCUUUGAUGAUAGGACCCUCCAUGGGUAAACAUUUUUUGGUCCAUUGAAAAGAAUGAACAGAAGCUGGGCUUGGUGACAGAGGCAGGCUGACCUUGAGCAAGAUCCAUAACAGCCAGAGCUUUGUCACACUGAGAAACCCUGUCUGGAACCACCUAACCCCACUCCCUCAUAAAAAGCAAAGUAUCAGUUUUCCUUGUUCAUUGGCUCUUGGUGUUUUCAUAAUAUCUUAAAUGCCUGAUUUCAUUGUUACUGUAACAACACUUACCAGUAUUUAUUCCAGAAGAUGAAUUGUGCUCCAGGUAGCAGAGAUUAACAACUUGCAGUUCAUUCCCAGGAACAAUUUAGAGCUCUGAGCCAUGCUCUAGCAAAACAUUCCCAGCAGCCUGCCCAGAGUUUAUUGCUGCUGCAUGCUGGGUAUUAACCAAUUGCAUUUGUUGCUGUAGGGACUCUACACUGUAAGAGUGUUGUGAAAGGACUGAGUUGGAUAGACUUGGUCUGGUUCUUUGGGGUGGUGUAAUGUUUGUUUGUUUUCAAGGUUUUUUUUGUAAUAAAGUUUACAAAACAAC